GUGUGCGUUGUGGCAAAGGAGAUCUGCUCAGUCGAUCAUCCCCUUGUUACAAACCUCACCU
rnacentral:precursor_RNA from 1 species